rnacentral:rRNA from 1 species
UACAGAGGUCUCAAGCGUUGUUCGGAUUCAUUGGGCGUAAAGGGUGCGUAGGUGGCGAGGCAAGUCUGGCGUGAAAGCCCCGGGCUCAGCCCGGGAAGUAGCGCUCGAAACUGCGCGGCUCGAGUGCCGGAGGGGAGAGUGGAAUUCCUGGUGUAGCGGUGAAAUGCGUAGAUAUCAGGAGGAAUACCGGUGGCGAAAGCGACUCUCUGGACGG